rnacentral:rRNA from 1 species
GACGAACGCUGGCGGCGUGCCUAAUACAUGCAAGUCGAACGCUGAAGGAGGAGCUUGCUUCUCUGGAUGAGUUGCGAACGGGUGAGUAACGCGUAGGUAACCUGCCUGGUAGCGGGGGAUAACUAUUGGAAACGAUAGCUAAUACCGCAUAAUAGUAGAUGUUGCAUGACAUUUGCUUAAAAGGUGCAAUUGCAUCACUACCAGAUGGACCUGCGUUGUAUUAGCUAGUUGGUGGGGUAACGGCUCACCAAGGCGACGAUACAUAGCCGACCUGAGAGGGGGAUCGGCCACACUGGGACUGAGACACGGCCCAGACUCCUACGGGAGGCAGCAGGAGGGAAUCUUCGGCAAUGGACGGAAGUCUGACCGAGCAACGCCGCGUGAGUGAAGAAGGUUUUCGGAUCGUAAAGCUCUGUUGUAAGAGAAGAACGAGUGUGAGAGUGGAAAGUUCACACUGUGACGGUAUCUUACCAGAAAGGGACGGCUAACUACGUG